GACGAACGCUGGCGGCGUGCUUAACACAUGCAAGUCGAACGGAAAGGCCCUGCUUGCCGGGUGCUCGAGUGGCGAACGGGUGGGUAACACGUGGGUGAUCUGCCCCUUACUUUGGGAUAAGCCUGGGAAACUGGGUCUAAUACUGGAUAGGACCAUGCUGUAGGUGGUGUGGUGGAAAGAUUAGUUUCGGUAAGGGAUGAGCUCGCGGCCUAUCAGCUUGUUGGUGGGGUAAUGGCCUACCAAGGCGUCGACGGGUAGCCGGCCUGAGAGGGUGGACGGCCACAUUGGGACUGAGAUACGGCCCAGACUCCUACGGGAGGCAGCAGUGGGGAAUAUUGCACAAUGGGGGCAAGCCUGAUGCAGCGACGCCGCGUGGGGGAUGACGGCCUUCGGGUUGUAAACUCCUUUCAGCCAUGACGAAGCCCUUGUGGUGACGGUAGUGGUAGAAGAAGCACCGGCUAACUACGUG
rnacentral:rRNA from 1 species